rnacentral:rRNA from 1 species
UUGGUGAGGUAAUGGCUCACCAAGGCUUCGAUGGGUAUGGGGUCUAAAAGGAUGGUCCCACACACUGGCAAUGAGACACGGGCCAGACUCCUACGGGAGGCAGCAGUGAGGAAUAUUGGUCAAUGGGCGAGAGCCUGAACCAGCCAUCCCGCGUGCAGGAUGACAGUCCUAGUGAUUGUAAAAUGCUUUUCUAUAAGAUGAAUAAGGACUACGUGUAGUUCGAUGACCGUAUUAUAGGAAUAAGCAUCGGCUAACUCCGUGCCAGCAGCCGCGGUAAUACGGAGGAUGCAAGCGUUAUCCGGAUUUAUUAGGUUUAAAGGGUGCGUAGGUGGGCGUUUAAGUCAGUGGUUAAAGCCAAUAGCUUAACUAUUGUAUGCCAUUGAAACUGGAUGUCUUGAAUAGGGUAGAGGUAGGCGGAAUGUGUUGUGUAGCGGUGAAAUGCUUAGAUAUAACACAGAACACCGAUUGCGAAGGCAGCUUACUAUGCCUUUAUUGACACUGAUGCACGAAAGCGUGGGGAUCAAACAGGAUUAGAUACCCUGGUAGUCCACGCUGUAAACGAUGAUCACUCGUUUUUGGCAAUACAUCGUCAGA